rnacentral:rRNA from 1 species
UCGCUAGUAAUCGCGGAUCANCAUGCCGCGGUGAAUACGUUCCCGGGUCUUGUACACACCGCCCGUCACACCACGAGAGUUGGUAACACCCGAAGUCGGUGAGGUAACCUUUUGGAGCCAGCCGCCGAAGGUGGGACCAAUGAUUGGGGUGAAGUCGUAACAAGGUAGCCGUAUCGGAAGGUGCGGCUGG